rnacentral:rRNA from 1 species
UACGAAGGGUGCAAACGUUGCUCGGAAUUAUUGGGCGUAAAGCGCACGUAGGCGGCUUUGCAAGUCGGAUGUGAAAUCCCUCGGCUUAACCAAGGAAGUGCAUCCGAAACUGCAGAGCUUGAGUACUUAAGAGGAUCGCGGAAUUCCCGGUGUAGAGGUGAAAUUCGUAGAUAUCGGGAGGAACACCAGUGGCGAAGGCGGUUCUCUGGGCAUUACCUGACGCUGAGGAGCGAAAGUGUGGGGAGCGAACAGG